rnacentral:rRNA from 2 species
CGUUGAUUGCCCUAGCUACGGCGAGUGAAGCGGCAACAGCUCAAAUUUGAAAGCUGGCUUAGGCCCGCAUUGUAAUUUGCAGAGGAUGCUUCUGGCGAGGUGCCUUCCGAGUUCCCUGGAACGGGACGCCAUAGAGGGUGAGAGCCCCGUAUGGAUGGACACCAGACCUGUGUGAAGCUCCUUCAACGAGUCGAGUAGUUUGGGAAUGCUGCUCUAAAUGGGAGGUAAAUCUCUUCUAAAGCUAAAUACCGGCCAGAGACCGAUAGCGCACAAGUAGAGUGAUCGAAAGAUGAAAAGCACCUUGAAAAGGGGGUUAAACAGUACGUGAAAUUGUUGAAAGGGAAGCGCUUGUGACCAGACUUGCGCCGGGCAGCUCAUCAGGGGUUCUCCCCUGUGCACUCUGCCCGGCUCAGGCCAGCAUCGGUUUUCGUGGGAGGAUAAGAACGGUAGGAACGUGGCCCCCCUUCGGGGGGGUGUUAUAGCCUGCCGUACGAUACUCCCGUGGGGACCGAGGUUCGCGCUCCGCAAGGAUGCUGGCGUAAUGGUCAUCAGCGACCCGUCUUGAAC